CGGUUUGAGCCCUUUUGAGCCUGUUUCGUUAACAUCUAUCUAACAGCAUUACAGCACCGGGGAAGACAACAACCCAACGUCCGACAAGGAUGGAACCCUAGGAUGCUGGCGAUUUAGUGCGAAGUAUUAUUUCUCCGGUUCCAUCGAAUCUGCAUUGGAUUGAUUAUGUUUCUUCUUUCGGAAUUUGAGGUUGACGGUGGAGUUGGGAUGGAGAAGCUGAAUGGCGAAGUUCGAUUGGAUGUUUUAAGAAUGGUGCAGAAUUUUUACCGAUUCUUUUUGGUUCAGGUUUUGAUCAUAAUUUUCUAUUAGGUUUGUUGAUAUUUGAUUUGGAUUAACGUUUGCAUUGAUUUCUGUUGGCUACUUUAGAGUGUUUUUUGGGGUUCUUGCAGAGAAUUAGGUAGGGUUUAAACCUCCAUUCUGUUCGGCAUAACUUCUGUUCUCUCACAAUGCUGUUCAGACAAUUAAAUCGAUCAGUGUGGUCGUAUAUUUGAGUCAAUUGGGUAAUCAUUCUAUCAGUUUUUUUCUAGCAUUAUUGAUUCUUUUUUUGAUAUACAUGCUGAAAUCUCAUAUAAUUUUUUUUCCAUUCAUAUAUUAAGGCAGCUCUGAUAAUCACCCAUGGAUUUUAUCUAGGUUUUAUCUUUUUAACAUUGUUUGUUGUCAUCUCUGGCGAGGAGAUGAACUUACCACAGCCAUUUGAUGUUUGAGUUUUCCAAGUUCAUCUACUCAAAAUGGUUAAGAGUCUGAUACCUAACAUUUGCAGUUCAAUUACUCAAUUUUACCCACUUAGCUCUGAUUUCUUUUGUUUUAUGAAAAGGUUCCUGCUCACUUUGAGAUCCACAUUAUCGAAGAUACUCACUUAACUGAUCCACAUCAUAGAUAUUUUGACCAUCUCUAGUCUCUACUGGCAAUGAUAUCUAUUUCACAAAUAAAGCAAUACCUGAUUUGAUUGUACAAAUUGUGAUUUUUCUUAUAAAUAGAAUGUUGUGAAUCUUUUCAUUUCAACCAAGGUUUUCAAUGCAGAUGCAUGUUGUUUUUUCGAAGACUCUUAUAAUUUUAAACAGUUAAUCCUGUUUUCCUACACUUUAUGAUCAAAAGAGUAAACUUGUAAGUUGGAAGAACCUCUCAUGUUAUCUUUUUUGAUUUGAUUUGAACCUCCUUAUGUGCUUAUGUUUGUGUUUGACCUUACAUUUAGUUAAUUGAUGAGGAGUAAAAACCUUAUUGUAUUAAGUCUAAUAAUGUAUUAUGUCGAAUUUAUCUCAUGCAAAAAUUAAAACUGUACACAGCGAAAAAAAUCUAUUCGCUGUGUUUCCUAAAUUAAUGCAUUGUAUCUAAAACAAUGGGUAAAUAUCCAUGUGAUUAUUCUGAUAUCAUGUUCUCUUAAUCAGGAUUUCAGGAAAUCAGGAGAUAUUCCAUUAGCAUCAAAGAGCGAAUUGGGUUGAUUGGUGCAAGGUUAUUAGUCGACAACUCAAUGCAAAAAAACAUUUGAAUUGUAUAUUCAUUGCUUUAGGGAUGAUCAGAUUAUGUACUUUGUAUAGGUUGUGAUGUAUGAUAUGAAUUUAGAGUAAAAUUCCAUAUUAACUUCUAUAUAUCUACAGCUUUGCUACCAGGAUAAAUAACCACUUUUAUGAAGGGAUUUCAUUCUUUGACAGACUCAUUUGGGUACUUUUUUUUGAUAACUUGUAUACUUUAACAUUAUAUAAGUAAAUAGAGAUUGAAGUACAUACACUAAAAUUCGAACCCUGAAACUCCAGUCACCUUAAUAGUUAAGAUGACAGUGAGUUUAUGAUCACAU
rnacentral:lncRNA from 1 species